rnacentral:rRNA from 1 species
AAGCUAAUACCGGAUAAUAUAUUGAACCGCAUGGUUCAAUAGUGAAAGACGGUUUUGCUGUCACUUAUAGAUGGAUCCGCGCCGCAUUAGCUAGUUGGUAAGGUAACGGCUUACCAAGGCAACGAUGCGUAGCCGACCUGAGAGGGUGAUCGGCCACACUGGAACUGAGACACGGUCCAG